UACGUAGGUGGCAAGCGUUAUCCGGAUUUAUUGGGCGUAAAGAGGGCGCAGGCGGCUUUUCAAGUCGGAUGUAAAAUCUCCCAGCUUAACUGGGAGGGACCAUUCGAUACUGGUAGGCUAGAGUGCAACAGGGGGAGGUAGAAUUCCCGGUGUAGUGGUGAAAUGCGUAGAUAUCGGGAGGAAUACCAGUGGCGAAGGCGGCCUUCUGGGUUGUUACUGACGCUGAUGCCCGAAAGCGUGGGGAGCAAACAGGAUUAGAUACCCGCGUA
rnacentral:rRNA from 1 species